rnacentral:lncRNA from 1 species
AUACAAACAAAAAAACAUACAUACAUAAAUACAUAAAUACAUAAAUAUACAUUAAUACUUGAACUAUAAAUAGUUCAAAUAUUGUAUCACUAAAAUAAACUUUUUCUUGCUAUUUAAUUUUUGAUCACUACAGUAUACAUUUGUGUAAACUAAAAUCUUAACUAACUGCUGAUAACAGGAAUAAAUCAUAAUACCUCAGAAUAAUAAUACUCAACAGCAUUUGAUAAAUUAUUUAUCAACUACUUCCUAGUUAUCAACUUAGGCCUGGUUGCAUAAAACUAUUGCGGAUCGUUAGUUGCUAACUUCGCCUACAUUUUGUUAGUUUCCGUUGCAUAAACGAAAUAACGACAAACUUGCUAGCAGAGAUGACGUCAUAGUCUUGGUAAAGUUAUCGACGCUUUAAGUUGUUGUUAAAGCUUGCUAAUAGUCAUGGAUGCUCUACUUUUAUAUUACUAUCUUGAAAAUUCUCGAAUUAUGAGACGAGAAAGGAUUUUUCGAGAUCGAUCAAAUCCUUUUGAGUGGCCAGAAGAAAUAUUUAUAGGAAAUUAUCAGCUACCACAGCCUGCAGUGUUUGAGUUAUGUGAUAAAUUGAGGAAUGAACUGUCUCGUUCGUAUUAUUUGUAUAGUUUAGUUAAUGAGAUACAAUACUAUUUCACAUUACAUUGAUUUUGUUUUCUUAAAAAAAAUUAAAACUCAUCACUUUAAAAUUUCUCUUGCAAAUUUUCAGAUUAU